rnacentral:ncRNA from 1 species
UAAUGCCUGUUACUUUCAGGUUCCAGAGGGUUUUUACACCUAAUGGUUAAACGGGAAGUCGGUAAGGUUACGGCCAAAUCCGACGCUGCCCCCGCAACGGUAUAUUAAGUAAAGAGUCAUCUUAUGCCACUGUGUUAUCAGCAUGGGAAGGUGAUGAUUCAGGCCCACGCCGCUUAUAAGCCCGGAGACCGGCCCGAAAGUAUAAUUCGGUA